AAUCAACGCUGGCGGCGCGCUUAACACAUGCAAGUCGCACGAGAAAGGGAGCAAUCCUGAGUAAAGUGGCGUCCGGGUGAGUAACACGUGGGAAUCUACCUCUUGGCGGGGAAUAACCCUGGGAAACCGGGGCUAAUACCGCAUAAGCUCGUGAGAGGAAAGCAGCAAUGCACCGAGAGAGGAGCCCGCGGCCGAUUAGCUAGUUGGUGGGGUAAUGGCUCACCAAGGCGAAGAUCGGUAGCCGGCCUGAGAGGGCACACGGCCACACUGGCACUGAAACACGGGCCAGACUCCUACGGGAGGCAGCAGUGGGGAAUCUUGCACAAUGGGGGAAACCCUGAUGCAGCGACGCCGCGUGAGCGAUGAAGCCCUUCGGGGUGUAAAGCUCUUUCGACAGGAACGAUAAUGACGGUACCUGGAGAAGAAGCGGCGGCUAACUACGUG
rnacentral:rRNA from 1 species